rnacentral:lncRNA from 1 species
AGUGAUGAAUUGAGACUCAUCACCGAUCACGUGUCUUGAGCAUCCGCUAUCAAAAUACCACUUUCGCUUCUUUACUUGGGAUGUAAGACACACUUACAUACAUAAAAUCAAGUUUUAACUUGAGGUACCCAAGCUAACUUGGGUCCUUUGGAGUUAGUCACAAUGAUUUUUUUUGAAACCCAUAUUUUCUUAAUAUUUGUACUAACAAAUUUGUUUGACAAGCACGCAUAAGCUUUAUG